rnacentral:rRNA from 1 species
AAUAGAUACCCUGGUAGUCCACGCCGUAAACGAUGAGUGCUAGGUGUUGGGGGGGUCCACCCCUCGGUGCCGAAGUUAACACAUUAAGCACUCCGCCUGGGGAGUACGGUCGCAAGACUGAAACUCAAAGGAAUUGACGGGGACCCGCACAAGCAGUGGAGUAUGUGGUUUAAUUCGAAGCAACGCGAAGAACCUUACCAGGUCUUGACAUCCCUCUGACCGUCCUAGAGAUAGGGCUUCCCUUCGGGGCAGAGGAGACAGGUGGUGCAUGGUUGUCGUCAGCUCGUGUCGUGAGAUGUUGGGUUAAGUCCCGCAACGAGCGCAACCCUUGAAUUUAGUUGCCAGCACGUAAAGGUGGGCACUCUAGAUUGACUGCCGGUGACAAACCGGAGGAAGGCGGGGAUGACGUCAAAUCAUCAUGCCCCUUAUGACCUGGGCUACACACGUACUACAAUGGCCGGUACAACGGGCUGCGAAGGAGCGAUCCGGAGCCAAUCCUAUAAAAGCCGGUCCCAGUUCGGAUUGGAGGCUGCAACUCGCCUCC